GUCAAGAUAGUGUAAAUAACAUAAUAAGUUGUAAACUUAGAGUUGCGAAAGCUUUGAUU
rnacentral:tRNA from 1 species